GAGUUUGAUCUUGGCUCAGAACGAACGCUGGCGGCGUGGAUAAGACAUGCAAGUCGAACGGGAGAAUUGCUAGCUUGCUAAUAAUUCUCUAGCGGCGCACGGGUGAGUAACACGUGAGUAACCUGCCCCCGAGAGCGGGAUAGCCCUGGGAAACUGGGAUUAAUACCGCAUAGUAUCGAAAGAUUAAAGCAGCAAUGCGCUUGGGGAUGGGCUCGCGGCCUAUUAGUUAGUUGGUGAGGUAACGGCUCACCAAGGCGAUGACGGGUAGCCGGUCUGAGAGGAUGUCCGGCCACACUGGAACUGAGACACGGUCCAGACACCUACGGGUGGCAGCAGUCGAGAAUCAUUCACAAUGGGGGAAACCCUGAUGGUGCGACGCCGCGUGGGGGAAUGAAGGUCUUCGGAUUGUAAACCCCUGUCAUGUGGGAGCAAAUUAAAAAGAUAGUACCACAAGAGGAAGAGACGGCUAACUCUGUGCCAGCCGCCGCGGUAAU
rnacentral:rRNA from 1 species